rnacentral:rRNA from 1 species
AUGGCGGGGGAGCCGCGUGCAACGCAAGAUGAAGAAGCCGAGUUAGACGCGGCCUGGCGUGCAAGGCAAGAGUCGAUGGCGGCGCUGCAGAAGACGAUGAUGGAGAUGUUCGCCGGGCCGGCGGCCGAGCUGCUGCGGCCGGACCAACAUCUCCUGCCCGAGCCGGCGGCGUUGAAGAAGACCCUCCAGGAUGUGCGCAAGGACCUGCCAACACCCGAGCCGUGGUGGCUGCCGGAGCAUCUCGCGGCGCGUGAGACCGCGCUGGCGGGGCAGGAAACCACGGCGGCGCUGUGCGAAGCCGUGGAGGCGCUGCACGGCGACCUCGACGCAGAUGGAUCAGUCGACGCGUGUCUUAUCGAACGCCUGGCCAAGGCGAUUCUGGCGGAGUACCAAGCCAGAGAGGCGGACUACGAAGCCCAGCAAGCGCUGCACCAAGCCCUCCGGGUGUUCAAGUAA